UUCCGGUUGAUCCUGCCGGAGGUUACUGCUAUCGAGGUUCGACUAAGCCAUGCGAGUCGAAUGCCGCAAGGCAUGGCGUACUGCUCAGUAACACGUGGACAACCUACCCUUAGGACUGGGAUAACCCCGGGAAACUGGGAAUAAUCCCCGAUAGUCCUCGAAGGCUGGAACGCAUCGAGGGCGAAAGCUCCGGCGCCUAAGGAUGGGUCUGCGGCCUAUCAGGUAGUAGUGGGUGUAGCGUACCUACUAGCCUACGACGGGUACGGGUUGUGAGAGCAAGAGCCCGGAGAUGGAUUCUGAGACACGAAUCCAGGCCCUACGGGGUGCAGCAGGCGCGAAAACUUUACAAUGCUGGCAACAGCGAUAAGGGAACCUCGAGUGCCAGGUUACAAAUCUGGCUGUCGAGAUGCCUAAAAAGCAUUUCAUAGCAAGGGCCGGGCAAGACCGGUGCCAGCCGCCGCGGUAACACCGGCGGCUCGAGUGGUAACCGUUAUUAUUGGGUCUAAAGGGUCUGUAGCCGGCCGGAUAAGUCUCUUGGGAAAUCUGGCAGCUCAACUGUCAGGCUAUCAUGAGAUACUGUCUGGCUCGAGGCCGGGAGAGGUGAGAGGUACUUCAGGGGUAGGGGUGAAAUCUUG
rnacentral:rRNA from 1 species